rnacentral:rRNA from 1 species
GUUAGGAAUAUUGGACAAUGGGCGCAAGCCUGAUCCAGCCAUGCCGCGUGAGUGAUGAAGGCCUUCGGGUUGUAAAGCUCUUUAGCCGAUGAUUAUAAUGACUGUAGACGGAAAAUAAGCACCGGCUAACUUCGUGCCAGCAGCCGCGGUAAUACGAAGGGGGCUAGCGUUGUUCGGAUUGACCGGGCGUAAAGCGCACGUAGGCGGUUUGUUAAGUCAGGGGUGACAUCCCGGAGCGCAACUCCGGAACUGCCUUUGAUACUGGCAAGCUAGAGUACGGAAGAGGUAAGUGGAACUCCUAGUGUAGAGGUGGAAUUCGUAGAUAUUAGGAAGAACACCAGUGGCGAAGGCGGCUUACUGGUCCGGAACUGACGCUGAGGUGCGAAAGCGUGGGGAGCAAACAGGAUUAGAUACCCCGGUAGUCC